rnacentral:rRNA from 1 species
ACUCCUACGGGAGGCAGCAGUGGGGAAUAUUGGACAAUGGGGGCAACCCUGAUCCAGCGAUGCCGCGUGUGUGAAGAAGGCCUGCGGGUUGUAAAGCACUUUAGUGGGGGAGAAAAUCUUAUUUGAUAAUACCAGAUAAGUUUGAUGUAACCCCAAGAAUAAGCACCGGCAAACUCCGUGCCAGCAGCCGCGGUAAU